rnacentral:tRNA from 1 species
GUCCCCAUAGUAUAACAUCACAUUACUUUGGUCUUGUAAGCCAAAAAUGGGGUAAAACCCCUGCGGACA